rnacentral:rRNA from 1 species
GACGAACGCUGGCGGCGUGCUUAACACAUGCAAGUCGUACGGUAAGGCCCUUUCGGGGGUACACGAGUGGCGAACGGGUGAGUAACACGUGAGUAACCUGCCCACAACUUUGGGAUAACGCUAGGAAACUGGUGCUAAUACUGGAUAUGUGCUCCUGCUGCAUGGUGGGGGUUGGAAAGCUCCGGCGGUUGUGGAUGGACUCGCGGCCUAUCAGCUUGUUGGUGGGGUAGUGGCCUACCAAGGCGGCGACGGGUAGCCGGCCUGAGAGGGUGACCGGCCACAUUGGGACUGAGAUACGGCCCAGACUCCUACGGGCGGCAGCAGUGGGGAAUAUUGCACAAUGGGCGCAAGCCUGAUGCAGCAACGCCGCGUGCGGGAUGACGGCCUUCGGGUUGUAAACCGCUUUCAGCAGGGACGAAGCUUUUUGUGACGGUACCUGCAGAAGAAGCACCGGCUAACUACGUG